UUUACUCGUACUUUUGCAUCAACAUCCGUUGGGUGGGGUGGGGAUGGUAACUUUAACAAUGAAAAGCACUCUGACUUUUUCUGCCUCUCCCUUACUUUUUGUGCAACACGAUAUGAAACGUUGUCUUGCAUCAGUAAAAAAUUACAUGAUUUGCAAAACAUCAGACAACAAGUAAUGAAUAACUAGAACAAAUGCAGAAUUCGUAGUUGUAGAGCAACACACAAAUCCAUAAAAAGCUUGAUCACGUACAUCACC